rnacentral:rRNA from 1 species
AGGCGGCGUAAGCUGUCGCUAUGGGAUGGCCCCGCGGUGCAUUANGCUAGUUGGUAAGGUAACGGCUUACCAAGGCGAUGAUGCAUAGCCGAGUUGAGAGACUGAUCGGCCACAUUGGGACUGAGACACGGCCCAAACUCCUACGGGAGGCAGCAGUAGGGAAUCUUCCACAAUGGACGCAAGUCUGAUGGAGCAACGCCGCGUGAGUGAAGAAGGUUUUCGGAUCGUAAAGCUCUGUUGUUGGUGAAGAAGGAUAGAGGUAGUANCU